rnacentral:rRNA from 1 species
CAGCCGCCGCGGUAAUACAGAGGGUGCGAGCGUUAAUCGGAUUUACUGGGCGUAAAGCGUGCGUAGGCGGCUUCUUAAGUCGGAUGUGAAAUCCCUGAGCUUAACUUAGGAAUUGCAUUCGAUACUGGGAAGCUAGAGUAUGGGAGAGGAUGGUAGAAUUCCAGGUGUAGCGGUGAAAUGCGUAGAGAUCUGGAGGAAUACCGAUGGCGAAGGCGGCCCCCUGGACAAAGACUGACGCUCAGGUGCGAAAGCGUGGGGAGCAAACAGGAUUAGAUACCCCUGUAGUCCCUGUCUCUUAUAC